rnacentral:rRNA from 1 species
UACGGAGGAUGCAAGCGUUAUCCGGAAUGAUUGGGCGUAAAGCGUCCGCAGGUGGCAAUGUAAGUCUGCUGUUAAAGAGUCUAGCCCAACUAGAUAAAAGCAGUGGAAACUACAUAGCUAGAGUACGUUCGGGGCAGAGGGAAUUCCUGGUGUAGCGGUGAAAUGCGUAGAGAUCAGGAAGAACACCGGUGGCGAAAGCGCUCUGCUGGACCUUAACUGACACUGAGGGACGAAAGCUAGGGGAGCGAAUGGG